UGGGGAAUAUUGCACAAUGGAGGGAACUCUGAUGCAGCGACGCCGCGUGAACGAAGAAGGCUUUCGAGUCGUAAAGUUCUUUUAUAUGGGAAGAUAAUGACGGUACCAUAAGAAGAAGCCCCGGCUAACUACGUGCCAGCAGCCGCGGUAAUACGUAGGGGGCUAUCGUUGUCCGGAAUCACUGGGCGUAAAGGGUUCGCAGGCGGAAAUGCAAGUCAGGUGUAAAAGGCAGUAGCUUAACUACUGUAAGCAUUUGAAACUGCAUAUCUUGAGAAGAGUAGAGGUAAGUUGAAUUUUUAGUGUAGCGGUGAAAUGCGUAGAUAUUAAAAAGAAUACCGGUGGCGAAGGCGACUUACUGGGCUCAUUCUGACGCUGAGGAACGAAAGCGUGGGUAGCAAACAGG
rnacentral:rRNA from 1 species